rnacentral:lncRNA from 1 species
GGAAGCCCCCGGGCGCAGAAGGGGCACGGGCGACCCCGGCCCCUGGGAGUCCCGGGAACGCGCUGUCCCGGGCACCGAGGCGGCUUCGCGAGUACCGGCCUCCAGCGCCCUCACCUGGCCGCCGCUGGCGGGACGCAGGCUCCGCGGGCUCCGUGGGCUCGGGUCUGCGUCUCCCAGAGCCGCCGCCAGGGCCAGUCCCGGUCCCGCCCGGGCGCAAGGCCCCCGCCCGACUUGGGCAAGGCGGGGGCGCGUGGAACGAAGCUCCUCGGGGGGCGAGGGAGGGAGCUUCGGUGCCGCGCGGGCGUCAGGGGCUCCACGGGGGAGGAGUCAGGAAAAGUGGCUAUAAAAGCGGCCGCUCCGGCGGACUGCCGGGGAGCUGGCGCGCAACGGAGCCCAGCGCUGUGCGAUAGCUUGGAGCCUGGCGAGUGCAAGCGGCGCGGGGAGCCAGUGGGGCUGAGCGUGGCCAGGGUCGGAACCCGAUUUCCCACUAGGCUUGCCCACGCCCCGGGAGCUCGCGGUGCCCAGCGGUCAGAGGCAGACACCCGGAGCCGCUGCGCUCCUGGCCCGCGAGGUGUGGCACUGUCUCGGCCACCUACCCAGAGCCGCAGACUCACUCUCCGCGACCGCCGCCGUUCCCCAAGGGUCGGGCGCUACAGCAGUCCCAGGAGCUCUGCCAGCUGCCGGGUUUGAGGUCUCGAGUUCUUCUCCAAGCAGCCAACGCUACCCACAGGGACGCUGUCUUCACUUUAUAUUUACAUCAAGAACUUGAUGGAAUUGAUGAAAGUGCCAGAGUUGAUCACAAUGCAAAGAAUUUAUUAUUUAAAGAUAAAUGGAAGAAAUUGUAUGUGAUAAAAAUCAGUCAGCUGUUUUUUCCUACCUAUACCACUUGGAGGAAAGAGAAAA